UGGCGGCGUGCCUAAUACAUGCAAGUCGAGCGGACCGACGGGAGCUUGCUCCCUUAGGUCAGCGGCGGACGGGUGAGUAACACGUGGGUAACCUGCCUGUAAGACUGGGAUAACUCCGGGAAACCGGGGCUAAUACCGGAUGCUUGAUUGAACCGCAUGGUUCAAUCAUAAAAGGUGGCUUUCAGCUACCACUUACAGAUGGACCCGCGGCGCAUUAGCUAGUUGGUGAGGUAACGGCUCACCAAGGCGACGAUGCGUAGCCGACCUGAGAGGGUGAUCGGCCACACUGGGACUGAGACACGGCCCAGACUCCUACGGGAGGCAGCAGUAGGGAAUCUUCCGCAAUGGACGAAAGUCUGACGGAGCAACGCCGCGUGAGUGAUGAAGGUUUUCGGAUCGUAAAACUCUGUUGUUAGGGAAGAACAAGUACCGUUCGAAUAGGGCGGUACCUUGACGGUACCUAACCAGAAAGCCACGGCUAACUACGUGCCAGCAGCCGCGG
rnacentral:rRNA from 1 species